AGUGGUAGCCUAAAGCAUUUUAUCUAUGUGAUCAAGACUUAGCCGUGUUAGUCAUGAAGGAGAAACGCUAAAGAAAAUUCUGUAUGUUACAUACGUAGGAUUAUUUUAAACUAAAAGUGGAAUUGGAAAAGUGAGAUUGUGACAGAUUUCCAAUGUGGGGUCAGCAAGUUCAGAGGUUAAGUGACUUUACAGAGGAGCUUCUGUCACACCGUCUUUUACCAUGACAAGAUCAGGUGCCUUAAAACUUUGCAUCCUCUUCUUUCUCACCUUCAUCCUGUGUCUACCAGAGUUUUUUCCAAAAAUAUCACAAAUUGAGUUUCUCUGUGAGCCCUUUGACCCUUGCACACCUGAGAAUGAUACACAGGUGUGUGCUCCAUAUGACCCUCCCUGUGUGAUAGAAAUGAUAAAUGCCAGCAGCCAACACACACGUUCUGAAGGCUGGUAUCUGUGUAAAACUGAAAUGGAUCUGCAGCUUCUCCAGAACAAUACCUCACCGUCAGAAGAGCAUGUGAUGGUGCUACUGACAAUGAAGGCAGGCAAUCACUCUGGAUGGAACAUUAGUGAAUUUAUGUUUCUCAACAACACUGAUCUAUACACUGCUGGACCCCAAAAUGACCAGAGACUGUUUUAUUGCAACCUCCCACCAGACAACAGCAAAUGUCCAGAUCUGAACAUAUCCAUGCAAGAAAAAAACACCAGCCCUCCAAUACAAGACCCCUCCAUUUUAAAAACCAAUACUUCUGUGAACCCAACUGCCUUUUCACUCAAAACAACUACACUGUCUUUCCAAGAAACACCUUCUACAGAUGAGCUGAAGUGUCAACCAACCAGCAGCAGUUUCCUCUUUUACUACCAGAUGAACAAUGAAACAGCAAGAUCUGCCGCAUUACCAGUAACCCAAACAAGAAAAGAUGGCUGGUGGUGUGUGAUUACUUCGGUGUGGUUGGCUCUGGUACUGACUGUGAUUGUGGUAACCCUAUUGAGUGUGGGAAACAUGAUCUUUAAGAGCAGAAAACGAAAGUCCGGUUUGGUUGCAUCUGUGCCGGUUUCAGCCCGUGGACGUCAGCUCAAAGAGCUCAGUAAACAAAAAGAAAAUUUAAUGAGUGCUGUCCCUACUGUGUCCAUAGCAAUGUGCUGCUUAAGUGAUGGGGAUGUAUUCUAUGAGAAACCGUCAAUGGGGAACAGAACAGAAGGUAAACAAACAACCUGUUCUAUCAUACUGCACACUUUUUACCCUGAAGAAAUCUGUGCUUUAUCAAAAUGCAACCCUUACAUCUUUACCUGGCACUGAGUUUUCUUACUCGAAUAGAAAUUCUCCAGACCACUAACUUUCAAUCUACACUUUCUCAGAAAACCUUCUGAAGGUAGCUGACCUUACAUACAAGAGAAGUAAGUUAUUGGAUAUUUUUUUAUACAGUGUGACAGAGUACAGUAAUUAAACGGGAAGUGUCUGUAAUGGUGGCAGACUCCCGAAAAGCAACUCAACCUAAAACAAUUUUGGGCGCCAGGCAAACAGAUUGAAAACUCUGUCAUCAUUUACUCACCUCAUGCUGUUCCAACCAGUUUGACUUCCUUCUGUGGGAUAUAAAUAAAGAAUUUUUUGCAAAUGUUCAUGCCACUUCAUCUCUAUAUAAUGAAAGUGGAUGGGGUUCAGAGAAUGGCAAGCUUUAAAAGAGACAUAAAAGCACGUACAGUUUGUGACUCUUCUGGAGCCAUAUGAUAGCUUUGUGUACCAUUUUAUGUGGUGUAGUCACUGUUCACUUUUAUUAAAUGGAAUAGCAGACAUUCAGCAAUGAAUAAUAUUUUUUUAUUCCCUGGAAGAAGUUUUCAAUUGUAGUUUAACUAUUACGCACCCACUUUCUCAUACCAUCAAAAACAGUAUGUGUGUGUACUGUGUAGGUCAUUGCAUCCAGUAUAUACUGGAUAAGAUUGUAUCUGGUUUCCUAUACAGCAUAUUUAUAUAUUCCCUUAGGCCUAUAUAUUCAUUAUGUGUGUGUGUAAUUUUUUUUAAUUGUCUCUAAUGUUUUAGGUUUGUCACCAGUCUAUGAGAUCAUAGAACCUCACUAGAUGAAGAAGAGCAACAUGAAGAUGAAGAAGAGUUUUAAAAAAUCACAAAAAGCACAGGGCCACUGCGAACCACCAACGUACCUGCAUCAUCGAAGCAACUUUUCAUGUUCUGGUCAUGAAGAAGAUGGGGAGCUUUAACCCUUUAAAUCUAAGAGAACAGAGGCAUUUUCUUAAACAGAAAAUGUAUUUGUUUACAACACAACAGAGGCCAGAUAACUUCAUCAUGCUUUCUCCACAAAUAAACAUCAUGUUAAAGUGUCUGUAAGUGACGUUAGGAGUUCUAGAACUGAUACUGAAUUAAACAAGCAUCCUGUUUUACAACCCCAUCGCUUGGACACAACCACCAAAGCAUGUAAAACUUAUGCUUCCUAACUGGAAAGAUUAAUAUCCCAUUUUGCACAAACUAAACUCAUAUAAGUUCAUCUUCCGUGUGCUCAUUUUCCAGCUUUACAUUUAUGCACUGCCCAACAUAAUUUCUAAAAGUUGUUGUAUUGCAUGUUUGUGUGUGUUUAAAAGCUGUUUUUGUAGGUUUCUUCCACAGAUCUGCAAUUGACAGUCUUAGCGUUAUCUUAACUACGGGAAUAUGCAUCACAAUAUAGUGUUAUGUCACACACAGUCUCAAAUAAAUCUGUUUGCCCAAUGCUGAAAAAAAUGAGAGGGAAGAUUUCUAUGACUAGGCUGAAAACUUAAUCCAUAGUGCAUGGUUCUCUAACGUCCAUUUAGCAAGCAGAAUGGCAACACUAAUGUGAUUUCAUAAUUAUACAACACCAGUCUUAAGCUUCUGUAGCUAUUAAAGUAAUACUCAUGUUUCCAUAAUGCACUUUUUAUCUUCACAUCAGCUUAAAAUGUUCAGAGAUUUGUAACUGGUGAAUAAAAACACACAGUACUGAGAA